rnacentral:lncRNA from 13 species
UUAUCAAAUUGAACCUUUAAUAAGAAGGUUAUAAAAUGAAAAAAGUUAAGUAUGUCUAAGUUUGUCAGUGAAUGCUGUUAAAACUGUUGUAGAAGGGAAUUUAUUACGCAAGUAGGUUGUAUGAAUUUUGCUUUACAGUCUAAGCAGGUUUUAAAAUAUUUUAAAAGUAGUUCUGUGUGUGAACAUAUUGGUUAAAAGUUAAGGAAGUGUCAUCUGGUUUUUCUGUAAACUGGCAACAAGUUUUUCUUAAAGCUUUAAUCUGCUAUUUUACAAAGAUUAUAAAAUGUCUCUUAGCACAGGCAUCAACACUAGACUUUCCAGUACACUAGCACCAUCAAAGAAACUUUGAUGAGGAUACCUUCAUCCAAAAAUGGAAAGAAGAAAAACUCAAGCCAGCCUAGGACACAAGCCCCAGACCUCACCUAAGGAAUGCUAAAGAGGGCUACCCAAAAGGCUUUUCACAGAUGUCAACCAGCUCAAUAGAAGAUGAGACCAAUGACAAUAUCACAACACUUACCAGUAUGGGCUUCUGGAUGGCUGUGACAACAGACUUCAGCCUGGGCUGAGAGGGGAAAAGAACAGUAGCCACUGUCAAAUGUCUGGAUCAUCCUUCACUACCUUCAGGGAAAAUCAACCAAAACCUGUACCCUGUGGGCAUUGGUGGAGUUCAAAAUAAAAAGGCCUGGUGGUGGCUCACACCUGUAAUCCCAGCACUUUGGGAGGCUGAGGCUGGCAGAUCACCUGAGGUCAGGAGUUUGAGACCAGCCCAGCCAACAUGGUGAAACCCCUUCUCUAUUAAAAAUACAAAAUUAGCCGGGCAUGGUGGCACAUGUCUUUAAUCCCGGCUACUCGGGAGGCUGAGACAGGAGAAUUGCUUGAACCAAGAAGACAGGAUUUGCAGUGAGCCGAGAUUGUGCC